CGCACUACUGCGGCAUGCCUACACAUGCAGUCGUACGGAGAGUGGGGCAACUCACUCUCAGUGGCAAACGGGUGAGUAACGCGUGAAUAACCUGCCUUUGAGAAGGGGAUAACUGUCCGAAAGGAUAGCUAAUACCCUAUAUUGCCUUUUGUCACUAAGGCAAAAGGUGAAAGCGAGGCUGUCAAAGGCUUCGGCUCAAAGAGGGGUUCGCGUCCUAUCAGGUAGUUGGUGGGGUAAUGGCCUACCAAGCCAAUGACGGGUAGCUGGUCUGAGAGGACGAUCAGCCACACUGGGACUGAGACACGGCCCAGACUCCUACGGGAGGCAGCAGUGGGGAAUCUUGCGCAAUGGGCGAAAGCCUGACGCAGCAACGCCGCGUGAGGGACGAAGGCCUUCUGGGUUGUAGACCUCUUUCAGCAGGGACGAUGAUGACGGUACCUGCAGAAGAAGCCCCGGCCAACUACGUGCCAGCAGCCGCGGUAAU
rnacentral:rRNA from 1 species